AUUGAACGCUGGCGGCAGGCUUAACACAUGCAAGUCGAGCGAGCGGCGGACGGGUGAGUAAUGUCUGGGGAUCUGCCUGAUGGAGGGGGAUAACUACUGGAAACGGUAGCUAAUACCGCAUACCAUCAGAUGUGCCCAGAUGGGAUUAGCUAGUAGGUGGGGUAACGGCUCACCUAGGCGACGAUCCCUAGCUGGUCUGAGAGGAUGACCAGCCACACUGGGACUGAGACACGGCCCAGACUCCUACGGGAGGCAGCAGUGGGGAAUAUUGCACAAUGGGCGCAAGCCUGAUGCAGCCAUGCCGCGUGUGUGAAGAAGGCCUUCGGGUUGUAAAGCACUUUCAGCGAGGAGGCGUUACCCGCAGAAGAAGCACCGGCUAACUCCGUGCCAGCAGCCGCGGUAAUAC
rnacentral:rRNA from 1 species